ACUUCCUCUUUCCGAGGUUUAAAUCCAGUGAGGACUUGAACUUGCACGCGGCAGCAGCGUUCAUGUAAAGCGGAAUCUACGGGGAACGAUGGACCGAGCCGCCGGUACCAGCGGGCGGGGCCGGGGCCGGGGCCGGGGACAGGGCCGGAGCCGGAGCCGGAGCCGGGGAGGCGGACAGGGACGGGGCUCCCGGCCCUGCGGCAGGCUGGCUCCCGGGGCCGGCGUGCUGCGGAGCCUCAGCGUGGGGAACACGGAGCAGGACUCCAGGCCGGGCCGCGGGCCGCGGAGGACGGCGCCCCGCUACAGCCUGCUGCGGGAGGUGGGCCGGGGGACGUACGGCGUGGUGUACGAAGCCGUGGCCCGGAAGACCGGGGCCCGCGUGGCCGUCAAGAAGAUGCGCUGCGACGCGCCGGAGAAAGUGGAGCUCGCGCUGCAGGAGUUCUGGGCGCUGACCAGUCUGGACAAGAGGCACGAGAACGUGGUUCACCUGGAGGAGUGCGUCCUGCAGAGGAGCGGCCUGGCGCAGAGGAUGAGCCACGGCAACAAGAGCUCCAGGCAGUACCUGACCCUGGUGGAGACCUCCCUCAAAGGCGAGCGGACGCCGGGCCGGCCGGAGGAGCCCUGCUACCUGUGGUUCGUCAUGGAGUUCUGCGAGGGCGGGGACCUCAGCCACUUCAUCCUGUCCCGGCGGCCCGACCCGCAGACCAACAGCAGCUUCAUGCUGCAGCUGACCAGCGCCGUCGCCUUCCUGCACCAGAACCACAUCGUGCACAGAGACCUCAAGCCCGACAACAUCCUCAUCUCGGAGAAGUCCGGCUCGCCGGUGCUGAAGGUGGCCGACUUCGGCUUGAGUAAGGUCUGCGCCGGGCUGGGCGGCGCCGGCGAGCCCGGGGCGGGCGACGACAAGAGCAGGCACGACAAGAGCAAGCACGUCAACGUCAACAAGUUCUGGCUGUCGUCGGCGUGCGGCUCGGACUUCUACAUGGCGCCAGAGGUGUGGGAGGGCCACUACACGGCCAAGGCCGACAUCUUCGCCCUGGGCAUCAUCAUGUGGGCCAUGCUGGAGAGGAUCACCUUUGUGGACGCCAAGUCCAAGCGGGAGCUGCUGGGCUCGUACAUCAAGCAGGGGGCGGACAUCGUCCCGGUGGGCGAGGCGCUGCUGGAGAACCCCAAGAUGGUGCUGGACAUCCCCCAGAAGCGCCGGUCCCGCAUGCCGGCCACCACAGGGAAGCUGCUGCGCGACAUGCUGGCCGUGAACCCUCAGGACCGGCCCGACGCCGUCCAGCUGCAGGCCCGCUUGGAGCAGAUGGUGUGCGCCACAUGACCCUCACUCAGGUAGGUCCAGGUCCAGGUUCAGCCUGACCCCUGACCCCCGACGCUGCUUUCACACUCUGCCUUUAUUGACGGUGUUCACACUCAGAGCUUGUGAAUUUUCUCCAUCUGGCAGCAAAAUGAAGCAGAGCUGAGCUCCGGUAGGACUCAGACUCCGCCUGUUUCAGCCUCACACCAGAAGCAUUGAAGCCCGCUGUGCAGGUCUCACUGGAACUCGGCAGGAAUGUUGAAAUGUGGGGAACAGAGCAGUGUCAUGAGAAUGAACCCCGCCCUGUGAAUCUGUCCUUCAGCAGGGUGGAGUCUGACGCCCCCCCUCUCAGAGCCUCAGAGCCUUUUUGAAAUGCUCCAUCUCCGUCUGAGCGAGGAAACCUGGUUAACAACAAGGUUUUCCUCAAAGCUGAGGAGGGACCAGCUGAAACUCCUGCACUCAGCACUGUUAGCAUGCUAGCAUCUAUCAGCACACUAGCAUAGAUUAGCAAGUUGUCAUCUGCAGCCAGCAGUUAUUUUUAUAAUUUUUUGUGUUUUUACCUGUUAAUAAGUGUAAUUUGUUGCUGACUGUUGAUGAGUCACUAAUCGAUGCUAGCGUGCUGAUAGAUGCUAGCAUGCUAACAGUGCUGAGUGCAGGAGUUUCAGCCGUAGAGCUGAGGAUCCAGUAGGUCGUGGAUCGACGCUGACUGAUCCAGUAGGUCGUGGAUCGACGCUGACUGAUCCAGUAGGUCGUGGAUCGACGCUGACUGAUCCAGUAGGUCGUGGAUCGACGCUGACUGAUCCAGUAGGUCGUGGAUCGACGCUGACUGAUCCAGUUCCUGUGUGUCUCUGCAGGCGCCGCUCUGCUGCCUCACCCGGAGUCCCCCACAUGACGGCCCCUCCCCCUGUGAUUGGAGGGCUGGAUGUGGAUUUGAGUGGCCGGUCUGGCUGAAGCCCCUCCCCCCGGCCGCCGGACGCCCCCCCAGGUUGUUUGCUGGACGGCAGGAGUUGACUGGCUGGACUCCAGGCUUCCUCCAGUCUGGCCCUCAGCCGGCGGCAGGUUCUCUCGGACCGGAGCUGACGGGCUGUUCUCGGUUCUGUUGGUCCUGCCUCAUGUUUACAGACGUUCGAUUCCGGCUGCCUCGCUGGGCGGAGGCUCCGCUCCGCCUCCACGGCCGCUCGGCGUUUCAGCUUCAGGGACGCUCUCCUGAAGCUCUGAGUGAUGUGCCUCAGAGCUCCUGCUUUGUUCUUUCAGUUCAGUUAAUAAAGUUUUAAAUAAUCCCA